GGGAAAGAGCUCUGAGGAGGGAAGGUUCUCGCACUGAGGCCUCUUGGCGUCGCGCGACCAGUCCUUUCCGCGCAGGAGGAGGUUUUAUCCAGUGUGCUAAACAAGCACCUGUCUUCUCCGUGUCCAGAGCACACGGUCAGCGUGAGCUGCGGGUGUAGCCCAAAGGACUUGAGACCUCGUUGUUCUGUGGGAGGACAGACAGCUCACCGUCUCCAGCUGAGGAAGAGUCAACCAUGGUGGAGUUUUACUCACAGAGGUGUCCUAAUUUUGGAUCUGUCUUAAGAUGAUCACAAACUUCACUUGAAGACUAGACUAGAAACAAGCUACGAUAGGCAAGGACUGCUGUACUCUAAAUACGCAAAUGAGUUUUGAAUUAAAAUGACUGUGCAGUACAAUUAUCUAGACGCUAUGAGAGAUGUCACCCAGAAGAUGAGAAGGGUAUAGAGAAGCAAGCUGUUGCUUUACUUCAUGGAGGACACACGGAGCAUCCAAGGAAGGCCUCAUGGAGUAAGCAGUAUAGCAGAUGCACCUCAGAAGAUGGCCAGAGUUCACAAGGCAGAGCAGACAGGCAGCUGCACGUGCAAGACAAUGUGAAUGGCUCAGUACGGCCGUGGCACGUCUGAGGACUGGAGGAGAGCAAGUGAGAGAGAAGCAACCAGAGAAGAGAGAGGAGAGUAGAUUCCAGUUCUCUGUUGAUGUUCAUCUUGUCAUCUAUUUUUUGAGCACACUAAUGGCAAGUAUCUUAAAAUACUCCUAACUACAGUAUCUGUUUUUUCUGUUGAUUUUGACUGUUUGAUAUUGUUGCCUGGUGUGCUUGGCAUUUUUAAAUAUUAUCAUUAUUAUUUCAUGGCGGACAAUGUCUAGGUAGAGUAAAUUUGAGGCUCUGAAUGAUUUUAUGUUCCUACAGAGAGUAUUUGCUUUAGAUUUUGGCAGGCAGUCAGAGGAAAGCCAGAUCACCUUAAUCCAGUCCGAUAGGAAACAGAUAUGAAGGUGAGAUUCGGUCUUUGUAAGAACUGGUCUGUUUUCUUUCAGCCUUACUUCUAGCAUGUAGCCUUUCAGGGGUCCCGACUGAUGGUCUGGGGUAU